rnacentral:lncRNA from 1 species
UGAUGGAAAAAAAGCCUUGGCUAAGGAAGGAGAUGAGAUAAGGGGCCUGAGGGACUCCCUGGGAACCAAAGGAGGUCCCAGGCCAGGGAGAUGGGUGAAGAACAGGCAGGGCCGGAAGGAUGAUGUAGUCCUAGUGGGAGUUUGAUUUCAGUGAUGAAGCAGUUCUUUUCGCUGACGCGGACUACGGCAGUGGAUGGCUGAAUUGGAGCACAGAGGAAAGCUGAGGUCAAGGAAGUUAAAUAAAUGGUAUCUGAGAACCUACCUCUGGUGAUGGUCAUAUCGGUGUCUCCGAGGGUCGUACUCGCCCCCCACGUCCACCACGAUGUCACAGGAAG